AGAGAGAGACAUGCGCGCAUAUCAAUAAGCGGAGGAAAAGAAACUAACAAGGAUUCCCUUAGUAACGGCGAGUGAAGCGGGAAGAGCUCAAAUUUGAAAUCUUCAAGGUUUUACCUUGACGAAUUGUAGUUUACAGAAGUGUUUUCUGCUGAAGUUUUGGUAAAAGUUCUUUGGAAUAGGACAUCAUAGAGGGUGAGAAUCCCGUAUUUGACCAUUAUUUUCAGCUUUGUGAUACACUUUCAAAGAGUCGGAUUGUUUGGGAAUGCAGUCCAAAAUGGGUGGUAAAUUUCAUCUAAAGCUAAAUAUUGGCGAGAGACCGAUAGCGAACAAGUACCGUGAGGGAAAGAUGAAAAGAACUUUGAAAAGAGAGUUAAACAGUACGUGAAAUUGUCAAAAGGGAAGCGUUUGACACCAGUGUUGUUUUCUCGAAAAUCAAUUAAAAAUGGCUCGAUUUUGUAUUGCUUGAGACCUUAAAAGCUCACUGUACAUUUUUCGUGUCUUUUUUAAUGCACUUUUCGUUUAACAAGUCAACAUCAGUUUCUUUUGUUGUAAAAGGGUCAUUGGAAGGUGGCUUUCUUUUCGGAGAAAGUGUUUAUAGCCUUUGGCCUCUGCAAUCGGAGAGAUUGAGGUCCGCAGCGUAGAUCCUUCGGGGUUAGAUACAUUGGUGCUAAGCUAUAGCCUUGUAUAGACAACUUGUUGACUAUGCUCAGUCAUGUAGCUUACUCGCUUAUGCUAUUUUACCUACGCUUAGGAUGUUGAAGAUGUAGCACAUCAU
rnacentral:rRNA from 1 species